rnacentral:tRNA from 1 species
CGGGAUGUAGCUCAGCCUGGUAGAGCGCUUCGUUCGGGACGAAGAGGUCGCAGGUUCGAAUCCUGUCAUCCCGACCA